GUUCGGGUGGGUGUGGAGACCACGCUGGAGCGAAACCAGAUCACACGUGACCAUAUGGGUCAUCUGUUCCAUCAGCUGCUGCAGGCUGGGAUCCUCUCCACAUCUCAGUUUUUUAAAGGGUUCUCAGAAACCCUCGAGAUAGCAGAUGAUAUGGCGAUUGACAUUCCUUAUGUAUGGCAGUACAUAGCGGAGCUCGUUAAUCCUGUGCUUCGGGAAGGAGGAAUCUCUUUUAGAUUCCACCGUUUUAGAUUUUAAUUGUUGAUUUCUUGUGAAUUCCAGUAAAUUUAGCAAACCACUACUUCCUGUGUCAAGAGCCGGCAUAUUAUUUGCAGAAAUAUUGCACCUUCUCUGCAAACACAUGAGCCAAAAGGAAGUGGAGGCCUUAUGGAGGGA